rnacentral:rRNA from 1 species
GACGAACGCUGGCGGCGCGCCUAACACAUGCAAGUCGAACGAGCGAGAGAGAGCUUGCUUUCUUGAGCGAGUGGCGAACGGGUGAGCAACGCGUGAGGAACCUGCCUCAAAGAGGGGGACAACAGUUGGAAACGACUGCUAAUACCGCAUAAGCCCACGACCCGGCAUCGGGGUGAGGGAAAAGGAGCAAUCCGCUUUGAGAUGGCCUCGCGUCCGAUUAGCUAGUUGGUGAGGUAACGGCCCACCAAGGCGACGAUCGGUAGCCGGACUGAGAGGUUGAACGGCCACAUUGGGACUGAGACACGGCCCAGACUCCUACGGGAGGCAGCAGUGGGGAAUAUUGCACAAUGGGGGAAACCCUGAUGCAGCGACGCCGCGUGGAGGAAGAAGGUCUUCGGAUUGUAAACUCCUGUUGUUGAGGAAGAUAAUGACGGUACUCAACAAGGAAGUGACGGCUAACUACGUG